AGAAUAAUAUAAAUUAGUUCAUAAAAAAACAGUAAAGUGUGAUUUCACAUCAAAUUUGGGCAAAUUGUGACAGUUAAAUAAACAUUUUCACAGUAAAAUUUAUUCAACACUUUUAGGAUAAUUAUCAAAGUGAUUAACUUUAGCUAAUAUUAACAGCAUGAACAAUAGCCUAAAUAAAACAAUAUGAUAUAAAUAAGUUCUUUAAAAGAACAUAUUUUAAAUGCAACUGAAACUGAUACAGAUUCCGGAAAAUUUUUUGCUGCUAAAAUAACUUUAAAGUUUGACAAUAAUCUCAUGGUCUGGGUCAUCAUACGCCUUACUAAUAUUAAAUGAUUCUUUUUAAAUCUUUUAAGAGCAAUACUAUUGGAUGUACAUGGUACAAUUUUCAAUGGAGAUACAUACAUCUAAUCAUAUGUACCUAUGCAGAUAUAUACCUAUUGAAACCUGAUUAAUUUUGAAAUAACUCUUAAUUUAUGAAAUAUUAUAUUGAAAUAAGUAAAUGUAUAUUUAUAGAAUAUACAUUCAUAGCAAUUAAGUUUAUAUUUUAAUGUUAUAAAUUAAGGUCAAAAGGAAAUUUGUUAAAUUUGUGUUUAAAACAUUUGUUCGUUAAGUGCAAAUAUCCAACCUAAAGUAUUUAAUAUUUGCUUGAGCUCGCUGAUCGUCACAUUACAUAUAGCUUUAGCUACGCAAUAUAUUGUUCCAAUAUUUGAAUUUUCUUAAAAUUUUCACCGUAUGGAAUCGACUAUAGGCCAUUUCUUCUGUUAAAAGUAUUUUAAUUUAUCCAUUGAUAAAUUGUAAUUGCUAAAGUGUGAGUAAUCAUUGUCGAUAUAUAAAUUUAACCGCCAACUUGGCGUAAAACUGAAAUUCAUGAAAAUCAUUAAUGGCAGUGGAAAGUUCAAAGCAAAAUAUUAUGGUUAGAUUAAUACUAACCCCCCGAAAAGGAAUUUUAUGAAUUAUAUUUGUGAAAUUUUUACUUUUAUAAAAGUAAAAAUUGUAAAAAUAUACUCAUGGUGUAGGGUAUCAUAUGGUCGGCCAUGCCCGACUAUACUUUCCUACUUGUUAAUAAUACGUUUAUAUUUAAAUGCUUUUGUACCUUUAAUUUGUAAAUUUGGUUGAUAGUGACGUUUAUGUACAUUUGUAUCAAUUAGAACAUCUUUGUAUGUGCUUAAAUCAUUUUUAGUAUAAUGCAACGGUUUUGAAUGAAAUAGUAACUCAAAUAAACCUGGAGUCAUUUUCAACUUAGUAUCUCCAAUAUAUAUUGUGUUAUUUGAUUUAAACUUUAAUUUAUUUAAUCCAUAUCGCCAAUUUCCAUCACGAUCUAUAUUAAAUCCAUAUAAUUUAUCAAUCAUAUUAUUAUUUAUUAAUAAUUUUACAUUUUCAAAUAAUGAUGAUUUUUGUAGAUUAUCAUUUUCAUUUUUAUUCUCGCUAUUUAAUUUGAAACGUUUUUUUUAUCAACAUUUAAUUGAGCUACACUCUUUCGUUUUGCAAAUAAAUGUGUGGUUUUCCAGCGUUUUUUAUCGUCUUCAUCAAAACCACUUAGUAAAGUUUUAUUCUUUCUUUUCGUAGGUUGUUUUUGUUGCGGUUUUACAAUGUUUACAUUCGAAGAAGUAGAGGGAAGUUGUAUAUUAAUACUAAGUUUAUUAGUCAAAGUAGAGUGUGGUGAUUCUUUGCUGUUGUGAAAUUUAUUUGUGGAUGUAUUAUAAAUUUUUUUUCCGAUUACAUUUUUUAAUAUUGUUCUUUUUUUAUUUUUAUUACGUUUCAGUAGAUGACCUUUUUUGUUUAUAUAUUUUCUUUUUUGUUUUUCUAGACUAGAGUUAUUGCUAUAUAGCCUAGUUCUUUUUAAGUUUUUUAUGCGAAAAUCAUCAGUUUUAUCGCUAAUAUCUUCAUAUUCCAUAUCUGAAUAAGGAUUAGAUAUGUUUUCAUCAUCAUCAAAACCAGCAAAACCAGAUUUAUUAUCAUCAUUGUCAUCAUUGUCAUCAAUAUCAUCAUAUUCCAUAUCAGAUGAAAUAUUACUAGAGA